UCUCGCAGGGAGGCCAGAGAGGAAGUGAAACACGAUAAGUAAACAUUUAGGAAAAUCGAAAUAACAGCCAAGUAGAUGAUCUCUUUAGGGAAGUAAUUAACGCGUAAAGGGGCCUGGGAAGCGAGGAAGCUGGAUAUAAGGACGGGGGUGAAGGCCCAAGGGUUGCAGGUGUUAUCUCCACCGCUACCCCACCACCGCCUCCCCCUUCCUCCCCCUGACCCUGAACUGCCAUGCCGCGCUACCUGCAGCCAGAGGAGGCCACGGCCCGUGACCUGGAGAGAGGCAAGGCCGUGCGCAGGUUCUCUCACCGGCACCGGCCUGAGCAUGGCACGCUCAAGAUCCGGAGAGAAACUGGCCACAUCAUCUGGGUUGGGGCGCAAGGUGUCAGGGAGGUUGUCACUUCCCUGGCGGACAUCAAGGAGGUGCGACCUGGGAAGGGCUCCAAGGACUUUGAGAAGUGGCAGGAGGAGGCCAGGAGGGAGGAGAGAGCCAAGUGCUUCAUUGUCUUCUACGGGAAAGAGUUCAAGCUCAGAACACUCUCUAUUGCUGCAAUCGCUUCUGAUGAAUGUACAGAAUGGAUCAACGGGCUGAAAUACCUCAAGGAAGAAGCCCUCAAUGUACCUUAUACUAUAAGACUGGAGCGGACACUGCGCACAGAGUUCUACAACAUGGAGAACCAAAACAACAGAAUAACCUUCCGUGAUGUGAGGAACUUCCUGCCACGCAUCCACUACAAGAUGACCAACAACCAGCUCAAGCAGCUCUUCGACCAGGUGGACGACCGCAGCCUGGGGGAGAUUGGCUUCGACCAGUUCUUCGACCUUGUCAAGAAGAUUGCCUGGGAAAAGGAUGUUGAUAGGAUGAUGUUUGAGAAUGCACGAGAUGUUGGGGAGAAGUCACUGCUGGACAAGUACUGCUGUGAGGGGAAGGUGUCCCUGCAGGACUUCCAGUUGUUCCUUGUGGAGGAGCAGAAGGAGCCAGAGGACAUGGCAGGACUUAUCAUCAAGAAUUUCAUCAGUGAUGUGCAGAGGGACAUCAUGGAGCCUUACUUCCAUGUGGAAGAGUUUGUACAGUACUUAUUCUCCAAGUCAAAUGAGCUUUGGGACCGGCGCAAUGACAGCGUGAACCAGGACAUGACAAAAUCCAUGUCACAGUACUGGGUCGCCUCGUCACACAACACGUACUUAACGGGUGACCAGUUAGCCAGUGACUCCUCAACAGAAGCAUAUGCGAGGGUGCUACGUCAAGGUUGCCGGUGCAUUGAGCUAGACUGCUGGGAUGGGCCCGAUGGAGUGCCCAACAUCUACCAUGGCUACACACUUACUAGCAAGAUUAGCUUCAAGGAUGUUAUUAACACCAUCAAUGAACAUGCCUUUGUGGCCUCUGAAUACCCUGUGAUACUCUCCAUAGAACAGCACUGCAGCAUGAUACAGCAGAAAGAAAUGGCUGAGCAAUUCCAAAAGGUGUUUGGGGAUGCGCUCUUAACUGCUCCUCUAUCCCCUAAUGAAAAGGAGAUGCCGUCCCCAGAGCAGUUAAAGCGCAAGAUCAUCAUUAAGCAUAAGAAGCUUCCAGAAGGCGUGGACGAGGCUACUCCUCCCAUCUGCAAUGCCAAUGACUCUGUUGCUCAGUCUAGCAAUGAGGAGUUUGGAGGAGAGAUGGACCUGAGCAAGUUGAGUUUCAAAGGUGAUCGCCUCUACCUCAGGAACCCAGUGGACCAGACUGCCUGGCAAGCCCACUUCUUUGCCCUCACCCAGGACCGUCUCCACUUCACUGAGCUGCAAAAUGAGGAGCCAGAGUCCGAGGACCAGCACAGUGGCCGUAGGAUGCUUAAUGAUGUGAGUGAGGAAGAGUGGCACCUGCAUGAACCCUGGUAUCACGGGCGGCUGCCAGGUGGAAGGGCAAAGGCGGAGGAGCUGGUCCACCAGAACAGCCAUCUCGGGGACGGGACUUUCCUCGUGCGCUUUUCUGAAAACUUUGUUGGGGAUCACACCCUCACAUUUUGGUACAGAGGCAAAGUUAGUCACUGCCGCAUUCGUGUUCGACAGGAAGGCGACAACACUAGGUACUGGCUCAAAGACAAUGACUCCUUUGACACUCUUUAUGGGCUGAUUGAACACUACAAGCACUACCCCAUAUUGUCACAGGAAGUAUCAGUAAAGCUGGGAGAAGCUGUACCUCAGCCAAAUAGCCAUGAGCGCAUGGAGUGGUACCAUGCUAACAUGACUAGAGAUGAGGCAGAGCAGUACCUUGGGAGGAUACCUGAGGACGGGGCCUUUUUAGUUCGGCCAAGUGGAGAGGCAGGGAGCAUAGCCAUAUCAUUCAAAGCAGAGAGACGGACAAAGCACUGCCGAGUAAAGCAAGAGGAUGGCACAUUCAUCAUAGGCACAGCAACCUUUGACAGCUUGGUGGAGCUGAUCAAGUACUAUGAACGGAACUUCCUCUUUCGUCGGGUCAAGUUGCGAUAUCCAGUGACAGAGCGUGUUAUCCAAGGACUCCAAGAUAUGGAUCCGGUUGAUGGCACUGGUGGUUAUGUAGUGGAUCCUGCCUACGUUAGCAAUAUCCAUGUAAAGGCCAAGUACUCUUACCGUGCCAACAAGGACGAUGAGCUGACUUUCCCACGCCAUGCCAUCAUCCAGAAUGUGAUAAAAGCAGAAAAGGAGUGGUGGACGGGUGACUACGGGGGACGGAGGCAGCACUGGUUCCCAGCUAUCUUCGUGGAGGAGAUUGAGCCAGAGAAUAUGGAGGAGAGAGGAGGAGACAACCAAGUCCUGGGUAGCCUGCAGAAGGGGAGCAUUGACAUCUCAAGGGCCGGCACCAAGAUCGAGAAAGUCACAGGAACCAACCGCUGGGGCAUUGUGUCCAUUAUAAAACUGACUACACAAACAGGCCAGGUGGUGGAGCUGGCCUGCACCUCAGAGCAGCAAGCGCAGGAGUGGGUUAAAAAGAUUGAGAGCGUCUCCUCACCAGCAGCUGUGAACCAGACCAGACAGACAAGGAAACCAGAGCAGCGCAUCAAGCAGGAGAUGAGCAACUUGGUAGUUUACUUCCGAGCAGUGCGGUGUGACCCUAGCAAGCAGUUUGUUUAUGGGGGCACACACAAUGAGGUCUCAUCCUUCCCUGAGAACAGGAUGGAGAGCCUCAUCCUCAGUUCCCCUAAAGGAUUGCUCAAAUUCCAUAAGGUUGGCUUCAGCCGUGUGUACCCCAAGUCGUCACGGUUGGACUCCACCAACUACAACCCAGUGCCCAUGUGGAACCAUGGAUGCCAGAUGGUCUCCCUCAACUACCAGACAGGAGAUAAACCUAUGCAGCUAAACGAGGGGCGGUUUAUGCAGAAUGGCAAAUGUGGUUAUGUUUUGCGACCUGAAUUCCAGAACAACCCUGACUAUGACCCAGGCAACCCCCUCACCCUGCCCAACCCAAGACCCCUCAAUCUUUCCAUAAAGAUAUUUGGUGCACGGCACCUGAGCAAAUCUGGCAAAGGCUUCAUUUCACCCUUGGUUGAGGUGGAGAUCAUAGGCUGUGAGUACGACAACGCUCCAAAGUACACCACCAGAGCUGUCCAUGACAAUGGACUCAACCCUGUGUGGGGCGUGAAGCUGAUGUUCUCAGUGCACAACCCAGAGUGUUCGCUUAUCCGUUUUGUGGUGUAUGAUGAGGACAUGUUUGGAGAGCCAAACCAGAUUGGCCAGGCAACCUACCCGGUGACGUGUAUACGUGAAGGUUACCGCAGCGUUCCCCUGAAGAAUGGAUACUCUGAGGAAAUUGAGCUUGCAUCACUCCUCAUACACAUGAAGAUCACACGAGAGGGCUUGGUACGGGUUACUCCUAGUUGUCCUGCAUUUGUUCCAAUACUAUGCGGGGACCCCGCGGGGCGAGCAACACCUGCAAAUCUUUAAUAAUACGGAAAAGUGCAGGGGGAAGUGGUUCUGGGGAGAGCCCGCCCCGCGGGGAAGUUUAAUAAUAUGGCUGAUAGACCUCAAACCUUCUUAUCAGAUGAACAGAUGAUCCUCCUCUACCGCAAGCAGAUGUUUACGAUGCUGGAUGAGGCACGGGAGAAAAACAAUCUUGAAAUGGUGGCUAACUUGGAAGACAGAAUCCAAAGACUGGAGCAGGAGAUCUUGCAGCACGGAGAAC
rnacentral:misc_RNA from 1 species